UACGUGAGGUGGCGAGCGUUGUCCGGAUUUACUGGGCGUAAAGAGCGCGCAGGCGGUCGUGCAAGUCGCGUGUGAAAGCCCCCCCGCUCAACGGGGGAGGGUCCGUCGAGAAUGGCGUGUCGUGGAGGCAGGGAGGAGGCCAGUGGAAUUCCGGGUGUAGUGGUGAAAUGCGUAGAGAUCCGGAGGAACACCAGUGGCGAAGGCGGCUGGCUGGACCUGACCUGACGCUGAGGCGCGAAGGCGUGGGGAGCGAACGGG
rnacentral:rRNA from 1 species